rnacentral:rRNA from 1 species
UACGUAGGGUGCAAGCGUUGUCCGGAAUUAUUGGGCGUAAAGAGCUCGUAGGCGGUCUGUCGCGUCUGCUGUGAAAUCUCAGGGCUUAACCCUGAGCUUGCAGUGGGUACGGGCAGACUAGAGUGCGGUAGGGGAGACUGGAAUUCCUGGUGUAGCGGUGAAAUGCGCAGAUAUCAGGAGGAACACCGGUGGCGAAGGCGGGUCUCUGGGCCGUAACUGACGCUGGAGGAGCGAAAGCCGUGGGGAGCGAACAGG